AUUGAACGCUGGCGGCAUGCCUUACACAUGCAAGUCGAACGGCAGCACGGGUGCUUGCACCUGGUGGCGAGUGGCGAACGGGUGAGUAAUAUAUCGGAACGUACCUUAUUGUGGGGGAUAACGCAGCGAAAGCUGUGCUAAUACCGCAUAAUACCUAAGGGGGAAAGCGGGGGACCGUAAGGCCUCGCGCAAUUAGAGCGGCCGAUACCUGAUUAGCUAGUUGGUGAGGUAAAGGCUCACCAAGGCAACGAUCAGUAGCUGGUCUGAGAGGACGAUCAGCCACACUGGGACUGAGACACGGCCCAGACUCCUACGGGAGGCAGCAGUGGGGAAUUCUGGACAAUGGGGGCAACCCUGAUCCAGCAAUGCCGCGUGAGUGAAGAAGGCCUUCGGGUUGUAAAGCUCUUUUGUCAGGGAAGAAACAGCAGCUCUAACACAGUUUGCGAAUGACGGUACCUGAAGAAUAAGCACCGGCUAACUACGUGCCAGCAGCAGCCGCGG
rnacentral:rRNA from 1 species